AACGAACGCUGGCGGCAGGCCUAACACAUGCAAGUCGAGCGAGACCUUCGGGUCUAGCGGCGGACGGGAGAGUAACGCGUGGGAACGUGCCCUUUGCUUCGGAAUAGCCCCGGGAAACUGGGAGUAAUACCGAAUGUGCUCGACGGAGGAAAGAUUUAUCGGCAAAGGAUCGGCCAGCGUGUGAUUAGGUAGUUGGUGGGGUAGGGGCCUACCAAGCCGACGAUCCAUAGCUGGGUUGAGAGGAUGAUCAGCCACACUGGGACUGAGACACGGCCCAGACUCCUACGGGAGGCAGCAGUGGGGAAUCUUAGACAAUGGGGGAAACCCUGAUCUAGCCAUGCCGCGUGAGCGAUGAAGGCCUUAGGGUUGUAAAGCUCUUUCACCGGGGAAGAUAAUGACGAUACCCGGAGAAGAAGCCCCGGCUAACUCCGUGCCAGCCGCCGCCGUAAGAC
rnacentral:rRNA from 1 species